rnacentral:lncRNA from 1 species
ACAUUCACUCCUCAUCAGUCCAGGACAGAAGUGGAGGGAUUUGCCACCUAGAGCGAGUGACCUCUCUCACAUUUACAGAAGGAAGGAGUGAAAGGAGGAUUACUGAGGAGGGAUAAUCAAAUCAGCAGAGAGUGCAGAUGUUCUCCACAGCUGGCCAGAUGCCUAGAGGUUUGUGCGUCUCAUGGUGCCAUCAACCAAUCAGCGUUGACAUGCUGUCAUUUUCCUCUGGUUCCAGAGCGAUCGUUGCAUGACAUUUACGACUCAGUUUGACAGCUCUGCUAAAGACCACGGACUAAUUGAUGAACACAUCAUUUAUGGAAUGUUUGGUGCAAGCUGUAACCUGGCACUGCAGAGUCGAGUCUUGACACAGGGGUGGACAGGAGAGGAUGAUGGCUUUGGGAGGAACAGAGACCCAUGGUACACGUUCAGCUGUCAAAGUCAGUGGCAGAUUCACUCAAGGUGCAAAUUCACUAACUGCUGUGCUACUUCUGCAUACUAUAUCCAUAAUAUAGUUUAACCAUCCACCAUGUGUGCUCAGAGACCCUAAGGCAAGAUAAGACAGAAUAAUUUGGUACACGUUCAGCUGUCAAAGUACAGUGGCAGAUUCACUCAAGGUGCAAAUUCACUAACUGCUGUGCUACUUCUGCAUACUAUAUCCAUAAUAUAGUUUAACCAUCCACCAUGUGUGCUCAGAGACCCUAAGGCAAGAUAAGACCAGAAUAAUUUGAUAUAAGAUGCGACUGCGGUUAGGGGACUAAAGUUUUAAAGUAAACCAAAAAAAAAAAAACCUAAAAAAAAUAAAUUAAUUAACUUGAUUUUAACACGCUAAUACAAAACAAUUCUUGUCACAACUCAUUGUUUUAUUACAUGUUAAAUCCACUUAAAUAUAUAAAACAGAAUAAAAGAAAAUAGAAAAGUAUAAUACAAGAAAGUUUAUUAAAUCCAUUUGUGUUGGAACUACAUGAUUAUUUGUCUGUUGGAAUUAACAGAAAUUGGGCAGGGGAUUUUUUUUGCUUUGUGUGGGACUGAACAGAGCAAGAAAAUGUUUGAAAUAAGGUGUAAUUUGAUGUGUUUUUGAGCAAGAUGAGAAAAGAGGAAUACUUGUUAGUGUUUAAUAUACUGGUAUUUUGAGGGUUUUUUUUUGGUUACACUGUAGUUUAAGGGGGUUUCCACUGAGUGAAGCUUUUUUAACCCGGGGUUAAAAGCAGUUACAUUUCUUUCAACACUACAAGAGCAAAACAUUGCUUUUCCUUAGCAUGAAGUAUAAAAUGGUACUAACCUCAGGUUGAGUGUUUUUUUGUAUGACUUAGAAAAAGCAUUUUACAAUUUAAAAUAAAAUAACUUUCUUUUGUAAUAUGUAUGUAUGUAUGUAUGUAUGUGUAUGUAUGUAUGUAUUUAUUUAUUUUCAGCAAUCAUCACUCCAAUUCAGUGUCACAUGACCCUUCAGAAUUUUUUUCUAAUAUGCUGAUUUGGUGCUCAAGUAACAUUUCUCUUAUAAUCACAGUUUCAGGUUUCUUCAGUGAACAGUAAAGUUCAAAAGAACAGCAUUUAUUUGAAAUCGAAAUAUUUUGCAUUCUAAGUGUUUUUACUGUCAUUUUCAUAAUUUAGUGCUUUGGUUUGUUGAAACAAAAGUAUUUGUCAAAAAAUUAUAAUAAUAAAAAAAAAAUAAUAGGAAAAAAUGUAUGUAUGUAUGUAUGUAAAUAAACAGUAUAUACAUACUUAUGUAUAUAUAUUAGACUAUGUAAAAUCUCCUUGAACUCAAUGCAGAAUAUAUAAAUGUCCUUUUCUAUUCUUGCAACAGCUAUUUCUUUUAUGUCUAUUCUAGCCCAUACUCCUUUGGACAGUUUUUAUAUUUUAGCGCCUUUUAAGUGAUAUCCUCCUUUGAAUGAAUAACUUUGUUUUCUUGUAAGAAUCCUUUAUAUUUUUCCUUCAUUUAUCACUAUAUUUGCAUGUGUAUGUGGUCUUGUAUCAAUGUGUACAUCUAGCUUGAUUUAUUUUCUUUAGUGAAUUUGAUGCUUACACAGUGUGUGCAAACAAACAACGCUAUCAGUGGUCGCAGAUAAAGCUCAGUGAAUCCCCCCCCCACCCCCCACCACCCCUGUUCUUGUCAGGAUUCAGCGAUCAGGCUNNNNNNNNNNNNNAGCUGAGGCCUGAAUAGACAGAAAGGAACAAAUAGGUGAUCCCUCCCAGCUCAAACCCCACCAUGCACUCUCUAACUGGCACAGUCAAUUAGAUGUAUUUCAAAGCAGGACGCUGAUCAGUCUCUCUCUCUUUGUCCACCUCUCCCCAGCAGCUUUAACAGUUCGUCUUUCCCAGAGGUACAAGUCUGUUCAUUAACUACAGUCC